rnacentral:rRNA from 1 species
AGUGAACGCUGGCGGUAGGCCUAACACAUGCAAGUCGAACGGCAGCACAGUAAGAGCUUGCUCUUACGGGUGGCGAGUGGCGGACGGGUGAGGAAUACAUCGGAAUCUACUUUUUCGUGGGGGAUAACGUAGGGAAACUUACGCUAAUACCGCAUACGACCUACGGGUGAAAGCAGGGGAUCUUCGGACCUUGCGCGAUUGAAUGAGCCGAUGUCGGAUUAGCUAGUUGGCGGGGUAAAGGCCCACCAAGGCGACGAUCCGUAGCUGGUCUGAGAGGAUGGUAGGCCACACGGGAACUGAGACACGGUCCAGACUCCUACGGGAGGCAGCAGAGGGGAAUAUUGGACAAUGGGCGCAAGCCUGAUCCAGUCAUACCGCGUGGGAGAAGAAGGCCUUCGGGUUGUAAAGCCCUUUUGUUGGGAAAGAAAAGCAGCAGGUUAAUACCACGCGGUACUGACGGUAACCAAAGAAUAAGCACCGGCUAACUACGUG